rnacentral:rRNA from 1 species
UACGGGGGGGGCAAGCGUUGUUCGGAAUUACUGGGCGUAAAGGGCUCGUAGGCUGCCAACUAAGUCGGACGUGAAAUCCCUCGGCUUAACCGGGGAACUGCGUCUGAUACUGGAUGGCUUGAGUUUGGGAGAGGGAUGCGGAAUUCCAGGUGUAGCGGUGAAAUGCGUAGAUAUCUGGAGGAACACCGGUGGCGAAGGCGACGUCCUGGACCGGUAUUGACGCUGAGGCGCGAAAGCCAGGGGAGCAAACGGG